rnacentral:rRNA from 1 species
ACAAAGCUUCCGUGGGUGAACCUGCGGAAGGAUCAUUACCGGUUGCCCCCGGGUAACUCUACCGCAUAUCUUACCUCAGGGUAGGCCUUAUCUCAGCAGGGGACCCAAAUCCAUCAGUCUCACAUCCGAGCGUCUUCCUCGUCAAGGAUCCGUUGGGCGCUUAGAUGGGUAAAUGGCGAGCUUUGAGUUAUCCACGGCAGCCCAGGGUUGCCGCGUCAGGAUGGUUGAGAUAGGCUAGCGCGAGACCGUGAGAGUCCUGCCUGUGAGCGCUACGGGUCUUGCUGCGGGGCGUGGCAUCGGGCCCAGCGACCCUCGCGGGGUGCCGGUUUCCGCAUCGUCCAACACUUUUCUCGUCAUGAUUCCAGUGCCCGACAUAUCGAUCGGACUGCUCGCCCAGCACCGACUUCGACGUUCCUAACCGGCGCAGGGCCCCCGACAGGCACCCGACGUGGACGGAUAGUCUCACCGAGUCAGUGCGAGCGUUAACGGAUAUGAGUCGGUGUGUUAAUGCGUCAGCCAUGCCCGCUAUACCCACUCAGAGCCCGAAACCUCUGAACCUCAUCCACCAGCGCGGAUCCGGAGGUUUCGUCCAGGCUGCCCUCCGCGCGCCUCCGGGUACCCAACACUUCUCUCACCUUCGGGGUCAGGAGGGGGGUUCAAUGUCUCCUCCCCCGGUCUGUUCCCCAGCCGCUCCCGGCGGGUGGCUUAGCGGGAUGGAGCGCCCGGGGGUUAACUGACCAACCUUUGUAUAACGCCCCAGUAGUCUCCUAACUUGCGUACUUGGCAAACAAAACAAAACAAAAACUUUGACAACUCUUAGCGGUGGAUCACUCGGCUCGUGCGUCGAUGAAGAACGCAGCAAGCUGCGAGAAGUAAUGUGAAUUGCAGGACACAUUGAUCAUCGAGACUUCGAACGCACCUUGCGGCCCCGGGUUGCUCCCGGGGCUACGCCUGUCUGAGGGUCGCUUUGACAUCAAUCGGAAAGGCAGCUCUCCACGAGCCUUCUCGCGGAUGCGGCCGCCGCAGGCAUCCGUUGCCUUCAUCCCACUAAGCGCUGUCUGCUCGGGCGUCUCACGUCCACCGCGGUUGCGGUUGAGGCGCGGACUAUGUGGCCACCCGCCCGGCCGUAGUACCUGUUAGGGUCCAGUGCCCCUGCUCCUGUCCGUCUGACACCGGGUGACCUAACAGACCCGGGGAUAAGGGUAGACCAGGCGGGCGCCGCUUGUCUCGGGAGAGGCUGACGGGGGACAGACCCUGUAUCUCGAGCUGUCGGAGUUACUCGUGCGACCCGGUUUGGAAGGGAUCACUGCGGCUAGUAGUUCGAGCUUCAGCGGGCGACCUGAGUCUUUGGGCCGUCGUGGAGCAUGAGGAUCCCACCGGCUCGACGCGGCGCACUCCGCCUCCGGAGGCGUAACGGCCCCCCCAGGCCAUCCCGGAGCGCGUGAGCCCCCCCUUCCACUCGUGGGACGGGGG